CUCUGUAUAGCCUUGGCUGUCCUGGACUUGCUUUGUACACCAGGCUGGCCUUGAACUCACAGUGACUCGCCUGCCUCUUUCUCCCUGAAUGCUGGUUUUAAAGGAAUGAGAGAGACGCCCAGUAGAAGAGAGGGGAAGCAAUGGGAGUUAUGUCUACUCACUGUAGCACGGAGAUGGUGUGGUUGGAGACCAGGGCCUCAGCCAUGCACAUGACACCAUCAUCCUUGAUCACGUUGCUUUGGAGGCUACAGAGAGCAUGUACCAGAUCCUUUGGCGCUUUCUACAAGGGGUAGAAAAAAGCAGACUGCAUCUUGAACCACGCUCUAAAAGGAUACCUGUUCUUGGGGAGGCAAGAGCUGAGCAGAGGGGGAAGCAAUCCCCUAGCCCAUGCAACAGGUAGGUACACUGGGCUCUGGGUUACCUGAUGGUUUGAAUGCGACAGUCCUUCCCACUCAGCACACUGCCCAACAGCUCCAUCACGGCGUCCUGGAACUGGUUGUUGUCCAGCCUGGUCAGGGGAGCCAUGACAGUGAGUAGUCCCGCAGCCCAUGAGCAGGGCAAGGCUUCCACCACCUCUCAUCCCCACUGUGGCCCCACUGUGUCAGCUCAGAGCUCUAGAGUUCUCUGUGCAAGCAACCUGAGGGGGUUCCUGUGAGCUGUG